rnacentral:rRNA from 1 species
UCUAAGUACCCGGAGGAAAAGAAAAUAAAGAAUGAUUCCGUAAGUAGCGGCGAGCGAAAGCGGAGGAGCCCAAACCAGUUCUCGAACUGGGGUUGUAGGACCACGACAAGACAAGAACGACGAUAGGAGAACAGCAUUGAAAGGCUGACCGAAGAGGGUGCAAGUCCCGUAACCGAAAUCGUAGUGAAGUCUAGUGGGAUCCUGAGUACGGCGAGACACGAGAAAUCUUGUCGGAAGCAGGCGGGACCAUCCGUCAAGGCUAAAUAUACCCAAGUGACCGAUAGUGAACCAGUACCGUGAGGGAAAGGUGAAAAGAACCGCGGGAGCGGAGUGAAAUAGAACCUGAAACCGUAUGCCUACAAGAAGUCAGAGCCCGUUAAAGGGUGAUGGCGUGCCUUUUGUAGAAUGAACCGGCGAGUUACGUUAUCGUGCGAGGUUAAGUAGAAGAUACGGAGCCGAAGCGAAAGCGAGUCUUAAUAGGGCGACAGUACGAUGACGUAGACCCGAAACCGGGUGAUCUAGCCAUGACCAGGUUGAAGUUCAGGUGAAACUGAAUGGAGGACCGAACCGACCCCCGUUGAAAAGUUGGCGGAUGAGUUGUGGCUAGGGGAGAAAUUCCAAUCGAACACGGAUAUAGCUGGUUCUCCCCGAAAUAGCUUUAGGGCUAGCGUCGAGGAAGAGUCGUAUGGAGGUAGAGCACUGAAUGUACGAUGGCCCCAUCCCGGGGUACUGAGUAUAAUCAAACUCCGAAUGCCAAUAUAUAUACUCGGCAGUCAGACUGUGGGUGAUAAGGUCCAUGGUCAAAAGGGAAACAGCCCAGACCGCCAGUUAAGGUCCCAAAAUGUAUGCUAAGUGGAAAAGGAUGUGGGGAUGCACAGACAACUAGGAGGUUGGCUCAGAAGCAGCCACCCUUCAAAGAGUGCGUAACAGCUCACUAGUCGAGUGACCCUGCGCCGAAAAUGUACCGGGGCUAAGCAUACUACCGAAGCUGCGGAUUUGCAGUAAUGCAAGUGGUAGGGGAGCGUUGCAUGCACGUAGAAGCCAUACCGAAAGGAGUGGUGGAGAGCAUGGAAGAGAGAAUGCCGGUGUGAGUAGCGAGAUGUAGGUGAGAAUCCUACACACCGAUAGCCCAAGGGUUCCAGGGGAAGGUUCGUCCGCCCUGGGUUAGUCGGGACCUAAGGCGAGGCCGAAAGGCGUAGUGGAUGGAAAACAGGCAGAUAUUCCUGUACCCGCGAUGGAAGUGAAGGAAUGACGGAGAAGGCUAGUGUGACCCACUGAAUGGAUUGUGGGCGAAGCGAAUAGCAGGACGGCAGUGAAAUGCGUCGUCGAAAUGUAAAACGUGACAGGUAAGGGAACGUCUACGGACAAGUACCGAAGCACAUGAGGCCAGCUUCCAGGAAAAGUUUCUAGCGAUAAUUCCAUAGCGGCCCGUACCAAAACCGACACAGGUGGGCAAGGAGAGGAUCCUGAGGUGAGCGAGAGAACUGUUGCCAAGGAACUCGGCAAAAUGACUCCGUAAGUUAGCGAUAAGGAGUGCUCUUGUAAAAGAGAGCCGCAGUGAAGAGGCCCAAGCGACUGUUUAACUAAAACACAGCUCUCUGCAAAGUCGCAAGACGAAGUAUAGGGGGUGACGCCUGCCCGGUGCUGGAAGGUUAAAAGGAUCUGUGAAUCGCAAGAGGAAGCAGUGAACUGAAGCCCCAGUGAACGGCGGCCGUAACUAUAACGGUCCUAAGGUAGCGAAAUUCCUUGUCAGGUAAGUUCUGACCC